rnacentral:tRNA from 1 species
GAGGGGAUAGCUCAGUGGUAGAGCACGUAUUUAGCAUGCAAGAGGUCCUGGGUUCAAUCCUCAGUACCUCCA